GGUCUCAGCAUUACAACCUGGUCAUAAAUAUCGACACAAAGGCCUUUGAGAAACUUUCUAACUUUUGGCUUUUGAGGGUGACCAUCAAAGGGACAAACCUAGACAGUUGAACAAAACGUGCUGCAUACUGGGCUACAGACAGGCUUCCUUGGCGGAGGUUCUUGAAUUCCUCCUCUUUCUUUUCUCGAAUAUUGGCAGGA
rnacentral:lncRNA from 1 species